rnacentral:piRNA from 1 species
UCCUCUUGCAGGGAAGGUACACAGAAC